rnacentral:rRNA from 1 species
GAUGAACGCUGGCGGCGUGCCUAAUACAUGCAAGUCGAGCGAACAGACGAGGAGCUUGCUCCUUUGACGUUAGCGGCGGACGGGUGAGUAACACGUGGAUAACCUACCUAUAAGACUGGGAUAACUUCGGGAAACCGGAGCUAAUACCGGAUAACAUUUUGAACCGCAUGGUUCAACAGUGAAAGACGGUCUUGCUGUCACUUAUAGAUGGAUCCGCGCCGCAUUAGCUAGUUGGUAAGGUAACGGCUUACCAAGGCAACGAUGCGUAGCCGACCUGAGAGGGUGAUCGGCCACACUGGAACUGAGACACGGUCCAGACUCCUACGGGAGGCAGCAGUAGGGAAUCUUCCGCAAUGGGCGAAAGCCUGACGGAGCAACGCCGCGUGAGUGAAGAAGGUCUUCGGAUCGUAAAACUCUGUUAUUAGGGAAGAACAAAUGUGUAAGUAACUAUGCACGUCUUGACGGUACCUAAUCAGAAAGCCACGGCUAACUACGUG